UUCAUGUUUUGAAGGGCUUUAAAUGGUUCAAAACGUGAGGCGCUGCUAUACCCCCUCGC
rnacentral:miRNA from 1 species